rnacentral:sRNA from 1 species
AAUCGCUAGCCUGAUCCAGUGCAUCGGA